rnacentral:rRNA from 1 species
UACAGAGGUGGCAAGCGUUGUUCGGAAUUACUGGGCGUAAAGGGCGCGUAGGCGGUCUUGUAAGUCUUGUGUGAAAUCCCUUGGCUUAACUGAGGAACUGCACGAGAUACUGCAAGACUUGAGAUCGGGAGAGGGAAGCGGAAUUCCGGGUGUAGCGGUGAAAUGCGUAGAUAUCCGGAGGAACACCGGUGGCGAAGGCGGCUUCCUGGACCGACACUGACGCUGAGGCGCGAAAGACUAGGGGAGCAAACGGG